UACGAAGGGGGCUAGCGUUGUCCGGAUUUAUUGGGCGUAAAGAGCGUGUAGGCGGCCUGACAAGUCUGCUGUGAAAACUCGAGGCUCAACCUCGAGCUGUCGGUGGAAACUGUCUGGCUAGAGUCCGGAAGAGGAGAGUGGAAUUCCUGGUGUAGCGGUGAAAUGCGCAGAUAUCAGGAAGAACACCUAUGGCGAAGGCAGCUCUCUGGGACGGUACUGACGCUGAGACGCGAAAGCGUGGGGAGCGAACAGG
rnacentral:rRNA from 1 species